AUUGAACGCUGGCGGCAUGCCUUACACAUGCAAGUCGAACGGCAGCACGGGUGCUUGCACCUGGUGGCGAGUGGCGAACGGGUGAGUAAUACAUCGGAACGUACCUUAUCGUGGGGGAUAACGCAGCGAAAGCUGUGCUAAUACCGCAUACGCCCUGAGGGGGAAAGCGGGGGAUCGAAAGACCUCGCGCGAUUAGAGCGGCCGAUGCCUGAUUAGCUUGUUGGUGGGGUAAAAGCCCACGCAGGCGACGAUCAGUAGCUGGUCUGAGAGGACGAUCAGCCACACUGGGACUGAGACACGGCCCAGACUCCUACGGGAGGCAGCAGUGGGGAAUUUUGGACAAUGGGGGCAACCCUGAUCCAGCAAUGCCGCGUGAGUGAAGAAGGCCUUCGGGUUGUAAAGCUCUUUUGUCAGGGAAGAAACACCGGCUCUAACACAGUCCGGGAAUGACGGUACCUGAAGAAUAAGCACCGGCUAACUACGUGCCAGCCGCCGCAGUAA
rnacentral:rRNA from 1 species